UCGAACUCCGGAAGAUUGAUAUAGUCGGUCGCACCAGCAUUUUUGACAUAGAAGUAGGUCCGGUGCCAUUUCUUGCACGACUCGAGGCCUUGGAUUUUUGGGAACUCGGAGUUGCGGCGAGGACCAAUGGUGGCAGCCCCGCACUGUGUCAUCAUCUUCGGUGUGCCGGGGUUCUCCUUGUCCGGGAUAACCUGUGGCCGGAACAUAAAGUACCGGGACCAUAGGGCAAUGGAAGGCCAGAGGCCGAGAUAACCCUCGCAGCAAGUGACGAAGGCC
rnacentral:lncRNA from 1 species